AGUCUAUUCAGAGGAAUUUGUUUCGUAAUCGAUAAUCCCCGUUUUAUCUUUCUUUAUUUUGUUAAUCAGUAUGUAUACCGCCGUUAUAAGUUUAUUUUUUUAGAAUAUUUACUUUGAAUUUUAUUAAAUUGUAUUUCAGGUCAAGGUGCAGCUAAUAUUAAAGUGUAAAUGAGUUACAAUACAAAUUGUGUAUACGUAUAUGAAUAUUAUAAUGUUAUUGAAGGUGGAUUUGUUGGUAAUUUUUUGUAUAGUAAAAAUUUGAUUUUGGCUCUAAAAUGAGUACACAUCGCCCGUCGCUCUA
rnacentral:rRNA from 1 species